GGGAAUUCGAGCGGGGGGCCGCCCAUGUUUUAGCCUAUUUGUUUACAGUGAAGGCGGGAUUGCAGCAUGACAGCCACAGUUUGCAAGCACAGAGAAAGACUCAGAAGUUGUAAUCUGUCCAUCAAGCUCAAUGGAACAUGGAAAGGAUUUGAUGGUGUUUUGGUUUCAGUCUGUACAUGCAGUGUUCCACACACCAUUACAGUCACAACCCCCGCUAUAUUUCUUCUAUCCACUCAUUCAUCUUUGAAAAGGGAGAAGGAAACAAAAGAGACAGUCUGGCCUCCUCUCGUACAGUAGAAACGGGGAUGAAAGAAGAGAUGACUUUUUCUGCGAGAGGCACUCCUGAUCGCCAUCCAAGUCAUUCGAGAAUCACGGGGAAGAAAAAGGCAAAGGAAUGUACACCUCAGACACAUAAAUCCCGUCCAAAAAGUCUUUAUCCUAAACAGAAUCAAACAGAAUUAUCAGUGUUCGCAAAAGGUUUAUUCAUUAACUGUUUGUUUUUGAAUAAUUGGGCAGCAUUUACAUUUUGACAAGACCCACACUUUUUAAACAAAACUGUCCAUGUAAUUGGCUUGAA